UGGGGAAUCUUGCACAAUGGAGGAAACUCUGAUGCAGCGACGCCGCGUGAGCGAAGAAGCCUUUCGGGGUGUAAAGCUCUUACGCCAGGGACGAUAAUGACGGUACCUGGAGAAGCAGCUGCGGCUAACUACGUGCCAGCAGCCGCGGUAAUACGUAGGCAGCAAGCGUUGUUCGGAAUUACUGGGCGUAAAGGGUGCGUAGGCGGCGCUUUAAGUUUGGUUUGAAAUCUCCCGGCUUAACUGGGAGGGUGCACUGAAAACGGGGGCGCUCGAGUUUGGGAGAGGAAAGCGUAAUUCCUGGUGUAGCGGUAAAAUGCGUAGAGAUCAGGAGGAACACCUGCGGUGCAGACGGCUUUCUGGACCAUCACUGACGCUGAGGCACGAAAGCGUGGGUAGCAAACA
rnacentral:rRNA from 1 species